UCACAGACCCAGGGCCACACUG
rnacentral:misc_RNA from 1 species